rnacentral:rRNA from 1 species
UACAGAGGUCUCAAGCGUUGUUCGGAUUCAUUGGGCGUAAAGGGUGCGUAGGCGGCGCGGUAAGUCGGGUGUGAAAUCUCGGAGCUUAACUCCGAAACUGCAUUCGAUACUGCCGUGCUUGAGGACUGGAGAGGAGACGUGGAAUUUGACGGUGUAGCGGUGAAAUGCGUAGAUAUCGUAAGGAAGACCAGUGGCGAAGCGGGUCUC